rnacentral:ncRNA from 1 species
CACAAAGCAAUGACGGGGCAAGUAUGUCGGGCUCUGGAGAGCAGAGAGCCGCCGGAUGGUGCGAGGCGGACCGAAGACCGGACAGAAACUCCCCCCUGAGUGCCAGCCGAACGGAAACUAGUAGAUCUGGCCGUCAUCCCGCGUUAAGGGCUUGAGUGGGUGCGCAGCAUUACUGCGUGCUUAGUAGAGUGGUACCGCGGAAACCUUUCGCCUCUAAA